rnacentral:rRNA from 1 species
UACGUAGGUGGCGAGCGUUGUCCGGAUUUACUGGGCGUAAAGGGAGCGUAGGCGGACUUUUAAGUGAGAUGUGAAAUACUCGGGCUCAACUUGAGUGCUGCAUUCCAAACUGGAAGUCUAGAGUGCAGGAGAGGAGAAUGGAAUUCCUAGUGUAGCGGUGAAAUGCGUAGAUAUUAGGAGGAACACCAGUGGCGAAGGCGGCCUGCUGGACGGUGACUGACGCUGAGGCUCGAAAGCGUGGGGAGCAAACAGG